rnacentral:rRNA from 1 species
GACGAACGCUGGCGGCGUGCUUAACACAUGCAAGUCGAACGGAAAGGCCCUGCUUUUGUGGGGUGCUCGAGUGGCGAACGGGUGAGUAACACGUGAGUAACCUGCCCUUGACUUUGGGAUAACUUCAGGAAACUGGGGCUAAUACCGGAUAGGAGCUCCUGCUGCAUGGUGGGGGUUGGAAAGUUUCGGCGGUUGGGGAUGGACUCGCGGCUUAUCAGCUUGUUGGUGGGGUAGUGGCUUACCAAGGCUUUGACGGGUAGCCGGCCUGAGAGGGUGACCGGCCACAGUGGGACUGAGAUACGGCCCAGACUCCUACGGGAGGAAGCAGUGGGGAAUAUUGCACAAUGGGCGGAAGCCUGAUGCAGCAACGCCGCGUGCGGGAUGACGGCCUUCGGGUUGUAAACCGCUUUCGCCUGUGACGAAGCGUGAGUGACGGUAAUGGGUAAAGAAGCACCGGCUAACUACGUG